rnacentral:rRNA from 1 species
GACGAACGCUGGCGGCGUGCCUAAUACAUGCAAGUCGAGCGGACAGAAGGGAGCUUGCUCCCGGAAGUUAGCGGCGGACGGGUGAGUAACACGUGGGCAACCUACCCUGUAGAUCGGGAUAACAUCGAGAAAUCGGUGCUAAUACCGGAUAAUCAUUUGAAGUGCAUGCUUCGAAUGUAAAAGAUGGCUCCGGCUAUCACUACGGGAUGGGCCCGCGGCGCAUUAGCUAGUUGGUAAGGUAAUGGCUUACCAAGGCAACGAUGCGUAGCCGACCGGAGAGGGUGAUCGGCCACACUGGGACUGAGACACGGCCCAGACUCCUACGGGAGGCAGCAGUAGGGAAUCUUCCGCAAUGGACGAAAGUCUGACGGAGCAACGCCGCGUGAGUGAUGAAGGUUUUCGGAUCGUAAAGCUCUGUUGUUAGGGAAGAACAAGUGCCGUUUGAAUAGGGCGGCACCUUGACGGUACCUAACCAGAAAGCCACGGCUAACUACGUGCCAGCCGCCGCGGUAACAC